AGUGAACGCUGGCGGCAGGCCUAACACAUGCAAGUCGAGCGGAUGAACGGUGCUUGCUUCUGGUUACAGGGGGGGACGGGCGGGUGAUGCCUAGGAAUAUCCGUGGCUGCGGUUUAUAAGGGCCUGAAACGGGCGCUAAUACGCCAUUAGUGCAGACGGCGAACGUGGGGGAGCUUCGGACCUUACGCUAUUAGAUGAGCCUAGGUCGGAUUAGCUAGUUGGUGGGGUAAAGGCCUACCAAGGCGACGAUCCGUAGCUGGUCUGAGAGGAUGAUCAGUCACACUGGAACUGAGACACGGUCCAGACUCCUACGGGAGGCAGCAGUGGGGAAUAUUGGACAAUGGGCGAAAGCCUGAUCCAGCCAUGCCGCGUGUGUGAAGAAGGUCUUCGGAUUGUAAAGCCCUUUUGGUGGGAAGGAAAAGCAGUAGGUUAAUACCUUGCUGUUUUGACGUUACCAAAAGAAUAAGCACCGGCUAACUUCGUG
rnacentral:rRNA from 1 species